GUAGGUGGCAAGCGUUGUCCGGAAUUAUUGGGCGUAAAGCGCGCGCAGGCGGUUCUUUAAGUCUGAUGUGAAAGCCCACGGCUCAACCGUGGAGGGUCAUUGGAAACUGGAGAACUUGAGUACAGAAGAGGAAAGCGGUAUUCCACGUGUAGCGGUGAAAUGCGUAGAGAUGUGGAGGAACACCAGUGGCGAAGGCGGCUUUCUGGUCUGUAACUGACGCUGAGGCGCGAAAGCGCGGGGAGCAAACAGGGAUUAGAUACCCUGGUAGUCCACGCCGUAAACGAUGAGUGCUAAGUGUUAGGGGGUUUCCGCCCCCUUAGUGCUGCAGCUAACGCAUUAAGCACUCCGCCUGGGGAGUACGGCCGCAAGGCUG
rnacentral:rRNA from 1 species